CAACCCCAGCUCAGGUGAUAACACCCACUGAGUUUAAGCAUAUAAUUAAGCGGAGGAAAAGAAACUUACAAGGAUUCCCUUAGUAACGAUGAGCGAACAAGGAAGUGCCCAGCAUGAAAAUCGGGUGGAAGUGUCGCCUGAAUUGUAGUCUGUAGAAACAUCCUUAGCAGCGGACCAGGCCCAAGUCCCCUAGAAGGGGGCGCCUGAGAGGGUGACAGCCCCGUCGGGCCGGGACCCUACUGCACCACAAGGCAUUGUCGGUGAGUCGGGUUGUUUGGGAAUGCAUCCCUAAUCGGGUGGUAAAUUCCAUCCAAGGAUAAAUACGGGUGAGAGACCGAUAGCGAACAAGUACUAUAAGGGAAAGAUGAAAAGGACUUUGAAAAGAGAGUGAAAGAGUGCUUGAAAUUGCCAGGAGGGAAGCAGAUGGAGGCCAACGAUGCGUCUCGGUUGGAUGCGGAAUGAAUCAAGUUGGUCCGCCACUCGAAUCGAGGUGCGAACCAGCACAGGCCGUUGCAUCGACACAAGCGUGGGUGGAGUACUGCCUAUUGGUUUGUCGUUGUGGCAGUCGAGGAAUGAAGUGUGUGCCCUUGGGGUGGGCCACUAUGCACCUGCACACUCAUGGUGUUGGUUGGCGGGAUUUCCAUGCGACCCAUCUUGAAACACGGACCAAGGAGUCUAACAUGUGUGCGAGUCGGUGGGUUUGUAAAACUGUGAGGCAUAAGGAAGAUGACGGGAGAGAACCCCUCUGCAUGGGGUGCAUUACUGAUCGACCUUGAGCUUGUGCGAAGGGUUCGAGUGCGAGCACACCUAUUGGGACCCGAAAUAUGUUGAACUAUGCCUGAGCAGGGCGAAGCCAAAGGAAACUCUGGUGGAGGCCCGUAGUGAUACUGACGUGCAAAUCGUUCGAUAGGGACGAAAGACUAAUCGAACCAUCUAGUAGCUGGUUUCCUCUGAAGUUUCCCUCAGGAUAGCUGGGGCUCAUGUGUGAGUUUUAUCGGGUAAAUAAAAUGAUUAGAGGCAUCAGGGGCGUAAUGCCCUCGACCUAUACUCAAACUUUAAAUAGGUAAGACGGUGCGGCUGCUCCAUUGAGCCGUGCCACGGAAUUGAGAGCUCCAAGUGGGCCAUUUUUGGUAAGCAGAACUGGUGAUGCGGGAUGAACUGAAAUUCAAGUUACGGUGCCAAGCUGCGCGCUAACCCAGAUCCCACAAAGGGUGUUGGUUGAUUAAGAUAGCAGGACGGUGGUCAUGGAAGUCAAAAUCCGCUAAGGAGUGUGUAACAACUCACCUGCCAAAUCAACUAGCCCCAAAAAUGGAUGGUGUUGAAGUGUGUGACCUAUACUUGACCGUCGAAGCAAUUUCUAGGCUUCGAUGAGUAGGAGGAUGAAGGGGUCGUUGAGAAACCUUGGGCAUGAGCCUGGGUGGACUGGUCCCCGGUGCAGAUCUUGGUUGUAGUAGCAAAUAUUCAAAUGAGAACUUUGAAGACUGAAGUGGGGAAAGGUUCCAUGUGAACAACACUUGGACAUGGGUUAGUCG
rnacentral:ncRNA from 1 species